GAUGAACGCUGGCGGCGUGCCUAAUACAUGCAAGUCGAGCGAACAGACGAGGAGCUUGCUCCUCUGACGUUAGCGGCGGACGGGUGAGUAACACGUGGAUAACCUACCUAUAAGACUGGGAUAACUUCGGGAAACCGGAGCUAAUACCGGAUAAUAUAUUGAACCGCAUGGUUCAAUAGUGAAAGACGGUUUUGCUGUCACUUAUAGCUGGAUCCGCGCCGCAUUAGCUAGUUGGUAAGGUAACGGCUUACCAAGGCGACGAUGCGUAGCCGACCUGAGAGGGUGGUCGGCCACACUGGAACUGAGACACGGUCAAGACUCCUAAGGGAGGCAGCAGUAGGGAAUCUUCCGCAAUGGGCGAAAGCCUGACGGAGCAACGCCGCGUGAGUGAUGAAGGUCUUCGGAUCGUAAAACUCUGUUAUUAGGGAAGAACAAAUGUGUAAGUAACUAUGCACGGCUUGACGGUACCUAAUCAGAAAGCAACGGCUAACUACGUG
rnacentral:rRNA from 1 species